rnacentral:rRNA from 1 species
AGGAUUAACGCUGGCGGCGUGCAUGAAACAUGCAAGUCGAGCGCGGUGUGAUGCGGGGUAACCCAAUUCACAUCUAGCGGCGAACGGGUGAGUAACACGUGAGCAACCUACCUUUGAGUUGGGGAUAGCCCUGCGAAAGCAGGAUUAAUACCCGAUGUGGUCACAACAGGACAUCCUGAUGUGAGUAAAGGCGCAAGCCGCUCAAUGACGGGCUCGCGGCCUAUUAGCUUGUUGGUGGGGUAACGGCCUACCAAGGCGAUGAUGGGUAGC